GGACUGCAGCAAUGUUUGGAUCCCGAACGUUGCAGCGGAAAGUUUAGUGAACCUCAUCACUUAGAGGAAGGAGAAGUCGUAACAAGGUUUCCGUAGGUGAACCGUGCGGAAGGAUCAUUC
rnacentral:rRNA from 1 species